rnacentral:rRNA from 1 species
AUUGAACGCUUGCGGCAUGCUUAACACAUGCAAGUCGAACGAGUGUCUGACGGGUGAGUAAUACUUGGGAAUUUACCUUGUGGAGGGGGAUAACUACGCGAAAGAGUAGCUAAUACCGCAUACCAUGGGAGCGGCCCAGCUUGGAUUAGCUAGUUGGUGGGGUAAAGGCUCACCAAGCGACGCUCCGUAGCUGGUCUGAGAGGAUGACCAGCCACACUGGGACUGAGACACGGCCCAGACUCCUACGGGAGGCAGCAGUGGGGAAUAUUGCGCAAUGGGGGAAACCCUGACGCAGCCAUGCCGCGUGAAUGAUGAAGGCCUUCGGGUUGUAAAGUUCUUUCGGUAGCGAGGCGUUAUCUGCAGAAUAAGCACCGGCUAACUCCGUGCCAGCCGCCGCGGUAAUAC